CCUACGGGAGGCAGCAGUGGGGAAUUUUGGACAAUGGGCGCAAGCCUGAUCCAGCAAUGCCGCGUGAGUGAAGAAGGCCUUCGGGUUGUAAAGCUCUUUUGUCAGGGAAGAAACGGCUGAGGCUAAUAUCCUCGGCUAAUGACGGUACCUGAAGAAUAAGCACCGGCUAACUACGUGCCAGCAGCCGCGGUAAUACGUAGGGUGCAAGCGUUAAUCGGAAUUACUGGGCGUAAAGCGUGCGCAGGCGGUUUUGUAAGUCUGUCGUGAAAGCCCCGGGCUUAACCUGGGAAUUGCGAUGGAGACUGCAAGGCUUGAAUCUGGCAGAGGGGGGUAGAAUUCCACGUGUAGCAGUGAAAUGCGUAGAGAUGUGGAGGAACACCGAUGGCGAAGGCAGCCCCCUGGGUCAAGAUUGACGCUCAUGCACGAAAGCGUGGGGAGCAAACAGGAUUAGAUACCCUGGUAGUCCACGCCCUAAACGAUGUCUACUAGUUGUCGGGUCUUAAUUGACUUGGUAACGCAGCUAACGCGUGAAGUAGACCGCCUGGGGAGUACGGUCGCAGAUAAACUCAAAGGAUUGACGG
rnacentral:rRNA from 1 species